UUUCAGAGCGCUCAAGGACACCUUACAAGACACAGUUAAAAACAACAACAAGCAGCACUUUGUCCAUAGAUCAUCAAAUCAAACAAUUCUGUAAGAUACAAUAAAAGUUAAUAAAAUGACCAGACGGAAAUGGUUAUGAUAAAAAUGAGGUAUGAAAUCUUCAUCAUGAAGUCAUCAUCAAUGCAGGUCACCAUAUGUGUGUCUCCAUUAAAUUAGAGCCAAUAUGGCAGCUUGAAAAGGUGUGUUUACAGACGGGGUUUGAAAGUGGGAGGAGUCAAGAUUGUGACUGUGGUGGGAAUGUAUUCGUAGUAGUAAAAUAAAUGUCAUUGCAUUACAUGAGGCGGAAGGUUAUCUGUGGAAGAUUACUGCAACAAUUUUAUCACACAAAACAAAAUUCCAUGUCUUUUCCAAAACUUUCAAUGAUUUUUACUAAUUCCAAGACUUAUCCAGGCCUGGAAAAUAUGGAUGUCCACAUACUUUUGCCCAGAUAGUGAAGUUAUGAGUUUUUGACAUAUAAUGAUUUAUUUCCUGAGCCCACUAGAUGGCGCUCUUGGUUCAAAGAAAACAGCUCAAGGACAGACAGUCCAGUGUGCCUGUCACCCUUUGUUGAUCAGAGAGCGCCAUCUAGUGAGGUCAGAAGAUACAGACAAAGCUUCAUGAGGCUUCAUUUGGUCAUCACUACUUGUCGCCUACUUUACUUGAGUAUUUCCAUUUUCUGAUACUUUAUAGGCCACUUUUUACUCCACUACAUCUCAGAGGGAAAUAUUGGACUUUUUACUCCACUAUAUUUAUUUGAUAACUUCAGUUACUUUGUAGAUUAUUAAUACAAAAUACCAUCAACUAAUAAAUGAUAUUAUUAUAGAUUAAACUACGCAGCAGUUUAUAAAGUCAUUAAAAUGAGCUCCAUCUUUACCAGCUGCAACAUUAAAUGAUGAACACAUGAAUGCAUCAAUAAUUAUAAUCCAUAAUAUAAAUGGAGCAUUCUGCAUAAUGAGCACUUUAACUUUUGCUACUUUAAGUGUAUUUUGAUGCUGAUACUUUUGUACUUUUACUCUAGUAACAUUUUGAAUAAAGAACCAGUAAUGGAGUAUUUUUAUAGUGUGGAUAUACUAUUUUCACUUACAGUAAAAGAUGUGAAUACUGUGAGCACUGGAAAUAUGGAACAGUAUUCUGAUGAUUUAAUGCUAAAAUAUGGGUGCACCGUCAUGAAAACAAAAAAUAUAAAGUUCUUCCUUUUGGAUUGGAACGUCAAUUAAUGUUUAAGGAGCAUCAAAUUAUCUCCAUCUACUGGUGACUAAAAGUAACUACAACAACACUGUGUUUAAAACACACAAUAACAAUAAAGUACAACAGUUGACAAAAGUCCUUUUGUAUAAUUUAUUUGAAUCACCUCACUAUUAUACAGUAUACACACAAACACACACACACACACACACACACACACACACACACACACAGACUGAUGCUGCUACUUCAAUGUCUCUGGAUCAUCAGGACACAGCUGAUCCUCUCAUGGCCACCAUCUGAUGAGAGAAGAAGACAAGAGAAGUUAUAAAGCAGCUGUCAGUCAGUGAUGCAGCACAUCCAGUAUAAAGACCAGUAGGGACUUCCUGUUCAGAGCAGAGUGGAGCGGCUGUGUAGCGUAGUCGGCUUCCUUCCAGCUCUCAUGUUAACGUGUUGGAGUGAACACACUGAGCUGGAAGCUCACAGACCUGCAGAGACUUUGGGCAUCAAGUCUGUUUAUUCUGCAGAUUUCACUCAAGUACACAGUGUAAAUAAACUGCUGAGAGUCCUGAACGCAUCAUGGCUGCACAAACAGAGGGAUUCACUUUAAUGAUGGAUUUACUGAGUCUGUUAGAACAAAUGACUGAUGGACAGAUAUAUCAUGUUAAAUGUUCUACAUGUUCAUCCAAAGACUGAACAGCAACACAUCAGCUGUGAUUACUGGACUUCAGCAGAGCUUCUGCUCUGUAUAAAGAACACAUGGUUACUAAAUGUAAUGAUGGUUCUAUAAAAUAAGAGCCAGUGAUUUUUAGGCUUCAGUCAGACUGAUCUCAGAGCUGUGACAAAGAUGAAGACAACAAACACUUUAAAGAGGACAUAUUAUGCUCAUUAACAGCUUCAUAUUUGGAUUCUGGGUUUCUACUACAACCUGUUUACAUGCUUUAAUGUUCAAACUAGCAUUACCGCCUCAUAGUUGUAUGCCUUAUAAAGAAAUCUUAGCUUCAGUAGAAAAAGCCGUUGAACACAGGGUAUUCACAACAGUCUGAAGUCUGAGGUUUUUGUUCACAGGGAUUACUUUUACAUACAUUUACCUCAUUAUCUGAAACUUUGGCCACAUUUAAUACCAACAUCCUUCAUUGUAACACUAUAGGCUAUAUAAAACACACACACACACACACACACACACACACACACACACACACACACACA